GCUGGGCACCGCACAACAACGACUACCACAGGGCUCCCUGUGUCGUCAGUCUCCACUGCCUUGUCUCACACUCACCCCUCCCUCACCCGAUCCCAGUCGGUCCCAGCCUCCACAGGCCUGGGCUGGGGGCCUGGGCUAGGGGCCCCUCCACAGGAGGGCAGCAUCAGCUCCACCCUGGCAGGCACCCAGGACACUCGGUGGGGAAGCCCCACAUCUCUGGAGGGUGAGUUGGGGACUGUGGCCAUCUUCCACGAAGCCCUGCAAGCAUCCGCCCUACGGAUCCUGUGCAUCCUGGGGCCCAAUGAGCCAGCACCCUUCAAGCCCGAGGGUGAACUACACGAGCUUGGCGCCAAGUUGCUCCUCCAUUAUUCACCGCAGGCCUGUAAGAACAAUAUCUGUCUGG
rnacentral:lncRNA from 1 species